rnacentral:rRNA from 1 species
AGUGAACGCUGGCGGUAGGCCUAACACAUGCAAGUCGAACGGCAGCACAGUAAGAGCUUGCUCUUACGGGUGGCGAGUGGCGGACGGGUGAGGAAUACAUCGGAAUCUACUUUUUCGUGGGGGAUAACGUAGGGAAACUUACGCUAAUACCGCAUACGACCUACGGGUGAAAGCAGUGGAUCUUCGGACCUUGCGCGAUUGAAUGAGCCGAUGUCGGAUUAGCUAGUUGGCGGGGUAAAGGCCCACCAAGGCGACGAUCCGUAGCUGGUCUGAGAGGAUGAUCAGCCACACUGGAACUGAGACACGGUCCAGACUCCUACGGGAGGCAGUAGUGGGGAAUAUUGGACAAUGGGCGCAAGCCUGAUCCAGCCAUACCGCGUGAGUGAAGAAGGCCUUCGGGUUGUAAAGCCCUUUUGUUGGGAAAGAAAAGCAGCAGGUUAAUACCCCGCUGUUCUGACGGUACCCAAAGAAUAAGCACCGGCUAACUUCGUG